GGGGGCGACCUGGUUUCGACGUGGGUUGCGAAGCCUGAGGUGCAUGCCGAGGAGCGGUGAUCCUCGUAAAUCCAGCCGCAAACCUUAUAGUUGCCAACGACGACAACUACGCACUCGCUGCUUAAAACCCAGUAGGGUGCCCUCUCACUGAGGCCGUGCCUGUGCGCUCAGGUUCGAGGGGUCAUCUCUCACAGGAUCGCGAUGACACCAGUCCGGGGUGGAUUCGUUAAAACCUUAUCCGGACUCGCUGCCGGUUGUCCCUGCCCGUCGGGUAGCCGCCAGUCAAAUGAAUAGACGCGGAUAAGCAUGUAGAGCCGAAGGGGGAGCGCUUGCGGACGCGGGUUCGAUUCCCGCCGCCUCCACCA
rnacentral:tmRNA from 1 species